AGAGAGAGACAUGCGCGCAUAUCAAUAAGCGGAGGAAAAGAAACUAACAAGGAUUCCCUUAGUAACGGCGAGUGAAGCGGGAAGAGCUCAAAUUUGAAAUCUUCAAGGUUCUACCUUGACGAAUUGUAGUUUAUAGAAGUGUUUUCUGUUAGUGGAGUGGCAAAAGUUCUUUGGAAUAGGACAUCAUAGAGGGUGAGAAUCCCGUAUUUGGUCAUUCCUCCUAGCGUUGUGAUACACUUUCAACGAGUCGGAUUGUUUGGGAAUGCAGUCCAAAAUGGGUGGUAAAUUUCAUCUAAAGCUAAAUAUUGGCGAGAGACCGAUAGCGAACAAGUACCGUGAGGGAAAGAUGAAGAGAACUUUGAAAAGAGAGUUAAACAGUACGUGAAAUUGUCAAAAGGGAAGCGUUUGACACCAGUGUUGUUUUUCCGAAAAUCAAUUACGAAUGUUUUGUUUUUAAGAAGUUAUGACUUCAUCGGCUUGCUCCUUUCUUUACGAAACUUUCUUAAUGCACUUUUCGGUUAACAAGUCAACAUCAAUUUCUUUUGUUGUAAAAGGGUAUGAGGAAGGUGGCUUUCUUUUCGGAGAAAGUGUUUAUAGCCUUGUGCCUCUGCAAUCGGAGAGAUUGAGGUCUGCAGCGUAGAUCCUUCGGGGUUAGAUACGUUUGUGCUAAGUUAUAGCUUUUCAUAGACAACUUGUUGACUAUGUUUAGUCUUGUAGCUUACUCGCUGACGCUAUUUUACCUACGCUUAGGAUGUUGAUAGUCACAGCGUGUAC
rnacentral:rRNA from 1 species